rnacentral:rRNA from 1 species
UCCGUAGCCGGUUUGAUAAGUUCUUGGUAAAAUCUGGCAGCUUAACUGUCAGUUCGCUAGGAAUACUGUCUUACUAGAGGGUGGGAAAGGUCUGAGGUACUCCAGGGGUAGCGGUGAAAUGUGAUAAUCCUUGGGGGACCACCAGUGGCGAAGGCGUCAGACUGGAACACGCCUGACGGUGAGGGACGAAAGCCAGGGGAGCGAACAGGAUUAGAUACCCUGGUAGUCC